AACGAACGCUGGCGGCAUGCCUAACACAUGCAAGUCGAACGAAGGCUUCGGCCUUAGUGGCGCACGGGUGCGUAACGCGUGGGAAUCUGCCCUUUGGUUCGGAAUAACAGCUGGAAACGGCUGCUAAUACCGGAUGAUGACGAAAGUCCAAAGAUUUAUCGCCAGAGGAUGAGCCCGCGUUGGAUUAGGUAGUUGGUGGGGUAAAGGCCUACCAAGCCGACGAUCCAUAGCUGGUCUGAGAGGAUGAUCAGCCACACUGGGACUGAGACACGGCCCAGACUCCUACGGGAGGCAGCAGUGGGGAAUAUUGGACAAUGGGCGCAAGCCUGAUCCAGCAAUGUCGCGUGAGUGAUGAAGGCCCUAGGGUUGUAAAGCUCUUUUACCCGGGAAGAUAAUGACUGUACCGGGAGAAUAAGCCCCGGCGAACUCCGU
rnacentral:rRNA from 1 species